ensembl:lncRNA
CUCCGGCAUCUCAGAGUAUUUUUCUUUCCUCCCCCAAUAUUAAUGAAAAAGAAAUCAAACUUUUGCUGGCUUCACUUAGUUCCUGACUUUCAAUCAGAUAAAUUUGUGACCUGAAUAUUUCCUUCUCCUCUUUCAGUAUUCAUGAAGGAUCGUUUGUGGCCGGGCUGGUGGAUUUAAGCAUUUGUCUAGUUCAGGAAAGACAGAUUUAUUCCUUGGGAGUUGUGUGUAUCUUACAACCUACAUAUUUCUGCCCCUCCCCUGCUUUCUCCAUCCUUUUUUCUGUUUUUAGAUUUAGAGGGCAUCAUUUUUUUUCUGGUUUGUUGUUAGUACAAAGUUAAGGAGUUUGGGCUUAAAAUACUUGUCUAGCUUCUCCCAUAGAUACCUUGCUCCCUGAGUUUUGCAGCUUGGUAUGGCUCAUUGAAAGUAGUCUGGACUGAAUUUGCUUAUUAGAAUGUUACACUUCUCUCCUGGGUCAAUUUUUAUCCACUUUAUCAAGUUACUUAUUCAUUACAGCUCUUGUCACAUGCACGUUAGUUUGCCAAGGAACUUAAAGAUAUGUCUUGUUUCUUGCUUAAGUAGGCUGGGAAUAUUGUGGACUCUAGCGCACCGGGGACCCCAGAUGCCCCGAUUUUUGAAACUGACUAUUCUUUCUUAGGCAUUGGGCUUGGAAUGAUAUUGGUUGUCUAGAACAGGGAAACAAAACAGAUAAGAAGUGCCCCCUGACCUCCCCAUUAAUUUUGUUCUCUGGAAAUAUGUAGAGGCAAUUUCAUCUUGAAUGAAGGGAACAGAAAGAAAGUAUUGGGGUGGAAACUUAAGACUGGAGGGGCCGGAUAGAACAGAUCCAAGUCCAGUCCAGCAGAGGAUGGGCUGGGUAUUUUUACGCCCAAGAAAAUAGUGAUUUGGAAAAAGGAAGGAGAAUAUGCUUUAUGCUGCUGUACCCUGUACCUGGACAGCUUUUCAAGAUAUUUGCUUCCUUUAAUUUGCAAUCAGAUAUGGAAAAGUCUGUCAUGAAAGCAGAACUCUAAUGAGCUUUAGUCUGAAGAUUUGGGACCCCUCAGCAGGUCAUGGACUAACCAAAAUACUGGGAUUCUUGCUGCCAUGGGAACAAAGAACACCUAGGAACAUGCUCAAAAUGGAAACAUUUAUUUUUCUAUUGAAUCUCGGCUUUGUACGUCCAAACGGUUGUUUCUAGGGCUUAAUCCAAGUAGAAUUGUGAAGCUGUCUUUGGUGCCAUCCUACCUCCAUUUUUAAAUAUCCUAACUCAAAGUAGUGAGUAGUGUUACCUAGAGAAGAUAUAAUUUGACACUUACUUAUAUUAAACUGAGAUAACAUUAUUUUAUGUGUUACUAGUAUUUUCUUCUAUCAAAGUGCCAAGAACUUGAAGGCAGGCUUUGUGCCUAGGGGAUGCUUGCAGUGGACAUUGGCUGUUAUGGGCUGCUCAGUCUCUUAACACUUUUCCUUGUUUUUAGGAAACUCAACUAUAAUAUCCAGCCUCCAAGAUAGCCAGCAAUGAUCCCUGUCUCCUGUCUUCAUGCCCUUGUGUGGCCCCCUCCCAUGUUGUCUUAGGGUUGGUCUGUGUGACCGAUAGCAUAUGGCAGAAGUGGUGGUUUGUGAUUAUGAGUCCAGGUCACAAAAGACAUGGUGGCUUCUGCUUUGCUCUUCCUUGGAUCUCUUCCUUUGGGGGAAGCCAGUUGCCAUGUUAGGAGCACAUGUAAGCAGCUGGUUGGAGAGGUCUACAUGACGAGGAAUGGGGCCUCCUGCCAAUAACUAGCUCGCCAUGUGCAUAAGCCACCAUGGAAGUGCAUCCUCGGCCUCUGCCAAGCUUUCAGACACAACCCUGGCCAACAUCUUAUCUGCAACUUCCUAAGAGGCUCUGAGCCAGAGGCACCCAGCUAAGCCACUUCCAGAUUCCUGACUCUCAGAAACUGGGGCUGCUUGGGCAAGAUUCUUAACCUCGCUGAACAUCAGCUUUCUCAUUGACUUGCUGUGAAAAGGAAAUGAAAUGAUCCACGGUUCCUGGUUCCUAAUCCUCCGGAGAUCCCUGUGCGCCUCUCAUCAGCUCCGAAUGCCCUCUGAGUGGAUCCCGGAUCCUACCUUGCUCUGUCUCUGGUGGAACAGAAGUUCAGCAAAACUUCAGCCAAUGAAAACUGGGCCACGAAGACUCUACAUACAAGAUAUUUUUACAAAGGAAAAUAAAGUGACUUAAGCACCCAUUUGGUCAAUUGACAACAUUUUAGUCCCUCUGCUCUGCUGGAGAUGGGGAACCUCUAGCAAGUUCCUUAACUUGUUUGGGUCUCAGUUUCCUCGCCCGUGACAGGAGGCUCACUGACCCCACAUCAUUUCUGGUGGCCCGUACAGGGACUUACUUCAUCGGCUUGUGAGCUCGAGUUCUGGUAAGUGCCCCUUUUCCUUGUGCCUUUCUCUUUUUCGAGGAUGGAUCUAAAUUCACUUCUCCAUUGGAAACUUUCUUGGAUGGCUGUAUGAAUUCAUGUUUGCUGCCCAUGGCUACUCUAUGGGGUAAAUCGUGGCAUUCAGCUUGAAGAGAAUCAGUACCUUAAGCCUCAGGGUGAUGGAGAAUGAAUUAAUCCAUUCCUUCCUGACUCUAUCUCUAAUAGACAAAUUUUACGUGGGCGCAGGUCUACCACUUAAGUCAUUAGGAUGGUCGCCAAUCUCCAAGACUCCUGUGGAAGGUUUCUUUUCCUAAGGCUGGAUUGGAAUCCCUCCCAUGGCACCUGACCAUGCUCUGAACUGAGGGAAAGUCCCAAUCGGGACUCCAGUUCAAGGAAAAUACCAAACUCUAACCUUUGGUGGAGUAUGGGAACCCCUUCUUGGGAGAAUGGCUCCAGGAUGCAAUUGGGUAGAAUGUCCCCCAGACUGGCAGAAAAUUCCUCACUGUUUUUCUCUAUCCUUUAUCCUGGGGACCAUUCACCAGGCACCUAUUACUGCCAGGCAUAAUAGGGAAGAUGUUCAAGGGAUGCCCCCAUCAUCCCUUGCUACAGGAACCCCAUUGGGGGGAUUUUCAAGGUAAUGGCUCCUUUUCUUUCAUCUCUCUUAAAGUUUUCCUUUUCUCUCAGGGACCAUUCACCAGGCACCUGUUAUUGCCAGGCAUAACAGGGAAGGUAUACAAGGGAUGCAAUGCCGGGGGAUGCCCCCAUCACCCCUUGCUAUAGGAACCCCACAGUAGGAACAAUGGCAGGAUGCUGCCCUAGGUUCAGGGGGGAUUUUUCAAGGUAAUGGACCUGUUUCUUUCAUCUCUCUUAGAGUUACAAUGGCCAUUUUUGUCUCCUUUUGAGCUUUGCAACCGGGAAACAAAGAAAUCUUUAAAGAGUCAAAGGCUCCACCCCUGGGAGCCCCAACUUUGGGUUUCUGGGCCUGACCACCCCAGCGACCCUAAGUGGGGGUGCCCUCUCUUGACGGUUAACUCAUUGAGUAUUUUAGUCACCUACUGAGUCAGUUAUGAGGGUAGGAGACCUGUGAUUUAUUCUGUGAACUGUCGUGCUAGGGUAGUGUGUCCCAGCACGGGAACUGUUGUGUGACUCUUAUCUUGAUAACCCUCUGGAAGAGGCCAUGAGGGCGAGGUCUGAUCUCUUCUUUUCCUUUCUUUGUCUGUCUUCUUCAUCACCUGCUUUGUUGUCACCAAGUCGAGGUUAAGUUCAGGCUGGACCUGAGCAGAACCUUGACCUUCUGUAAAAUUGAAAAAAUAAGCCUUUUGCCAGGGAUUUAACUCUCAACCCUGACGCUGGGAGCCCCGGCCUCCAGCCAGUUCCAGACCUUUGUGUCCUGCUUCCCUACCUCAACUGUGCUGGCUCGGAGACAAAGUGCCCAGGCUGAGCGGGACUUGACUAAAUCUUAUAACUAUGUCAACACCGGCAAUCAGCCUCUGCACACCCGCAAUUGGCCUCUGCACCCUUUCUCCAGCUGCUGUCAGUCAGACACAGGCUUUACUGUCACAGGGAAGGCCCCCUAAGUAUCCCCAGAGACCCACCCUGCGGAUGCAUUCUAACUCCAUCUGGGAGAAAAUUUGAGGGGUUUCUCUGUGCCUUUAUGAUGUAGUUGGACAGGUAGAUCAGCCUAGAACGUCAUUCAAGUUACAAUCCAGUUUCUGGGAAAUCAAGAGCAACUGUCCUUAGAAAAUCCUUGCAAGACUGGAAAUACAGCUCUAGAGGCAGUUCAGAUUCCACCUAGUUCCUUUAUCACAAAAAGGAUUAUCAUCUCCCCUCUCCAGGAACUACUAUCUAGCCUAUCAUUAAUUCCUAAGACUGAAGAAAAAAAAAAAGAGGAGGGGAGAGGAAAAACGGCCAUAAGCGUGCCCUUGCAGAAAGUCUAGCAUCUUGAGUGUCUUCUCCGCAAAUAUUGGUAAAAGAAACCAAAACAAUAGCUGUACAGUCUCUGUGUACGUGUGUCUAUGUGUACAUUAUAUGUGUGAUAUUUUACCUCCGGUUGGUAUUGCCAAAAUUAAGAGCUCUGUUCAAUUGGCUUAAAGUAAGCG